rnacentral:lncRNA from 1 species
UCUCUUCAGGGAGCCCCACCCUUUCACCAAGCUGGCUCUGGCCCGGUGUUACUGCCGCAGACACCGGAAACCCCCUUGGAAAAUGCGUGUUGUUCUGUGUAAAACGCUGCAGUAACCAGCUUGCCUCUCUCUCUCUCUCUCUCUCCCGGAACCUCUUAACUUGUUUGCUUUUAAGGAACGUUGGGGAGUUUCUACACUUCCUGAAGGAGACUUCCCAAGGCAGAACUGCGAGGUGCCGACUGUGGAUGGAAGGAAAAAAAACCAGUCCUAAAAGAUCUCGUAUUGCAAAUAUCAUAGUCCCUGCUUAAUAAGAACGCCACAGCCCGAGCGCCAGGCCUGAGGACCAGCUGACUCUACCCUCUCUGCGGAGGGUGUGAGUAAUGAACCUCCCCCGUCCACGGGCGGGGGUCCUCACUGUAUCCUAAACUGCCCAUCCCUUGCAAAUCAGCCCGAUUCUUUUCAACCAAGGAGCAGUGCCCGGAGUAGAGGGCGUGAGCUGCUGGAGCGCAGGUGGGCGCUAGGGGGCACGAGGGGUGAAGUCCGCAGGCCCUGUAUUUCCAGUCUCGCCAGCCCUUUUCUCCAAAUCUGUGGAAUUGGUCUGGUCUUCCAGCAUCCCCAGACUUUGAACCAGUUUUUGCUGGUCAUUUCAACAGGGUUCGAAAUUAAUCACUCAUCGUCGCAGCUCUUUGGAACAAGAUCCAUGCUCUAGCUGUUUAAAGCUGUUUAAACUGUUCCAACAGUCAGUUUCUUUUUCUGCUUUUCUUAUCAGGCUUACACAAUUGGCUUUAGAUUUUCCCCCAUGGGUUUCUUUUUUUUUUUUUUUUGCACAUCCCCCGGGGCACAGGCUGUAUUAUUUACUUUGGCGUUGUGGAGGGGAGGGCUACUCUUUAGUUGUGUGCGGUUGGUUGCCUUAGCUUUGUUCUUGAGCCAUUAGGCUGCCUUAUUCCAUAAUACAUGAAGGUUUUAUUUGAGAGCCGCAGUCAUCCGCCUCUGCUAGCCAGGGAAGAUAAAAUUAGAGGGUGAUGGUUGUGUCUCCCAGGCACCUGCUUAUUGUUGUAAUCAUACAAGUAAUGAACAUUUAACCACCUUCUCUGUGCUCACAGUUUUCAACCCUCACAGCCUUAGGAAAAGACGAAUGAUUUUCUUUAAUUGUACAGAGAGUAUCAAAAGUCUGGAUUUGAACUCCAAACUAUUUCAAAGCCCUUGCCACUUUGGGGUCUGAACAUUAAGUCAAGAGGUUAUUUCGAAUUCCAGGAUUAUGGAAUCAAUUUUUUUUUGGUUGGAGACAGUGGGAAAUGAGUAGAAUAUGGUAGUUGAAAGUACAGACUGAAAUCUUAGAAUCUGGAUUAGACUCUGACUCUGCUGAAUACUGUCUCCUGGAAAUUACUUCCCAAACUUUAUUGUUAUAAUUCAAAGAUGGGGCAAAAUCAUAAUACACAUCUCACAGCUUCACGGAGGGAAUUAAAUUAGAUGUGUUUAAAUGCUCAGGACAGGGGCAAACAGAAGGUGCUUCAUCUAUGUUUGUGCUAAUAAAUAUCAAGAUCAAAGAAGUGUGAGUGAAAAUUUAUCUUCUUAAACUAGCACUUCUAUUAUUUUCAUUCUUAGCUUUUUCUCUUGGCUGCAGAUAAGCUAAUUUCAGUCUAGGGAGAAUCAUACCGGGUACUGUUUCCCCUUCCUCAGCAUUCAUAUGCAAGUAACAUGAGUUUAAACCAAGGAUGGAGUUAAAAGAGUCAGUCACAAAAGGAUAGCCCUGUGAAUUCUACACAUGUGAGAAGGCAGGAGCCAGUUUUCUCUGGUGAUUAGGUCCUCUGAUCUCCGGAAAGGAAUUCCAAAGUCUUGCAGGCCUCCGUGGCUUUGGGCUUCACCAUGGAUUGCUGCAAGCCGGCACAAACUAUUCAAUUUCUCAAAGCCUCCCAUUAUUUUUUUUUUUCGUUUCUGCAGAAUGGGGUUAAUAAUACCAUCUCUUCAAGGUUGCAGGAAGAAUUCAAUGACUUUAUGUGAAAGUGCUUCACAGAGUACCUGACCCACCAUUGUCUCUCAAUAAAUAUUUACUUUCCCUCUUCCUUUCGUCACGAUGAGAAUUGACUGAGUAUGGAUUCUUCGGUAUGUGAGCCUGCAGCUAAUUGUUCUUGCAUACUUGGAAAAAUGCAUUCAUAUCUAUGUUACUAUAAUUUUCUGUUGUAAAGGAUAAUUCUAAAGCCCCAUAACUGAGAAGGGUGAGUGAGCAUCCUCUGGAAUCAUCCUAGGGAAAAAAGGGUAGUGGGUGGAGCUAGUUAAUUACCAGAGUCUAAAAGGGCCAUAGCCAUCACUGCAUUCAGGGGGUGUUAGUUGGCUCAUUUUGCAAAUCGGCUGUGAACUGCAGAUGUCCCAGAGAGAGAAAAUUAAAAUUUUAGCAGAUCCGUAAGAGAACCUGGCCUCUUUUCGAAGAGAAGAUGAAUUAAGCUGGGAGGUAGAAGAGAAAUGAGAAACUGAGCCACACUCUCGGAAAGUUAUCGUCUGCCAAGAGGGUGAUGAGAUUUUCGAAGGAACUAGAAGGAUUUAUACUUUAGGCCAUGAUGGGGUAACCUGCACUAGCCCAGUUCCUCCAGAUGUAAACAGCUAUAAAACUGGAUGAAAAUAUCUGAGGCAGCUGGUUGCAGGCAGUGGGCAAUGGGGAGCCCAAGAUUGUUAUCUCCAAGAGACCAAAACUUAAAGGUAAAUCCCAGCUCUCUGCUGUGAGACAGUUUUCUAACCACAGCAUUGAAGUCCAAGCAGUGCUUGGAGGUAGAGAUGAAGAGACAGAGAACAGAGUGUAGCACAGUGGAAACAGCGGGAAUCUGCAGGAUAGAACAUUAGCAAAGAAGUAGCUAUGCAGAGAGGGCUUCUUGACAGUCUGUUGGGGCGAGAGGCGGCGCUCAUAAGACCAGUCUGAGAACUGGGUUGUAGAUGAGCAGGAAGAGACCAACAGGGGCUCACCAGAUAGCAGCUACUAUGCAGUUGGAAAUGAACAGAUACUAGCAAUGCUGGGGGAAGGGCAGUGAGUGCCCAAAGACUUUUGGUAUUCUGAGCCAAGUUUAAGGUUUCAUGGCAACCCCUGGCAACCAGCUAAGGCACCAGAAGAAACCUGUCAUAGGAGAACAGACUAUACUCUAGAGCAGGGUUCAGUAAAAGAAAACUUUUUCUAUAAAAGGUAAUAACAGUAAAUAUUUUGGCCUGUGCAAGCCAUGCUGUAGGUUCUGUUGUAACUAUUCAAUGUUGCCACUGGAGUGCAAAACCAGUCCUAGACAGUAUGUAGAUGAAUAGCAUGAUGAUAUUCCAAUAAAACUUUACUUUCAAAAGUGAAGUAGCAGGAUUGGCCUCAGGAUCAACACCUGUGCUAGAGAAAGAUCUAUUUCCUAUCUGCAUUAACAAAGUCUAAAACUAAACCCUAACGAAUCUCAGGGGAGGCAAAUUUGAAGUCUUUGGCCAACCAUUGUAGAGGAGCUUGGGAAAUACUCAGUGCCAGACUGAGAUUAUAUAAGUUCAGGAUGAUUAGCCAGGAAAUGAACUGCUUUCUAAAACAAGAAUUAACACUCUUCAGAGGAAGAUAACAGGACUCAGAAUCUUUACAACACACCAUUCGUCCAUUCGUAAUAUCCAAUGUUAUACUGUGUAAUAACCUAUAUGGGAAAAGAACCUGGAAAAUGAAGGGAUAUAUGUAUAUGUAUAACUGAUGUACUUUGCUGUACACCUGAAACUAAUACAACUUUCUAAGUCAACUAUACUCAAAUAAAAUUUAUUUUUUAAAAAAUACCCAGUGGUAUAAAAAUGGAAGAAAAGAAAUGUAAUUGUUUUCCUGAAAAAAAAAAUCCAGUGGUCAAUAAAAAAUUACUAGACAAAUAGGAGUUCUUAUUGUGGCUCAGUGGGUUACAAAUCCAACUAGUAUCCCUGAGGAUGCUGGCUCGAUCCCUGGUCUGGCUCAGUGGGUUAAAGAUCCAGCAUGAGCUGUGGUGUAGGUCGCAGACUCAGCUCAGAUUUGGCAUUGCUGUGGCUGUGGUGUAGGCUGGUGACUAUGGCUCUAAUUAGACUCCUAGCCUAGGAAUCUCCAUAUGCCUGGGUGUGGCCCUAAAAAAGACAAAAAAAAAAAAAAA